rnacentral:rRNA from 1 species
GUGAGGAACACGUGAGAAACCUGCCUCGGAUUUUGGGAUAACAAAUGGAAACGUUUGCUAAUACCAAAUAACGUCGGAGAGUCACAUGACUUUCUGACGAAAGGAAUUCCGAUUCGAGAGGGUCUCGCGGCCUAUCAGCUUGUUGGCGGGGUAAUGGCCCACCAAGGCAACGACGGGUAGCUGGUCUGAGAGGAUGGUCAGCCACACUGGGACUGAGACACGGCCCAGACUCCUACGGGAGGCAGCAGUGGGGAAUCUUGCGCAAUGGGCGAAAGCCUGACGCAGCAACGCCGCGUGCGGGAAGAAGGCUUUCGGGCUGUAAACCGCUUUCAGCAGGAACGAAAAUGACGGUACCUGCAGAAGAAGGAGCGGCCAACUAUGUGCCAGCAGCCGCGGUGAUACAUAGGCUUCAAGCGUUGUCCGGAUUUAUUGGGCGUAAAGAGUUCGUAGGCGGUCGAGUAAGUCGGGUGUGAAAAUUCUGGGCUCAACCCAGAGACGCCACCCGAUACUGCUUAACUUGAGUUCGAUAGGGGAGUGGGGAAUUCCUAGUGUAGCGGUGAAAUGCGCAGAUAUUAGGAGGAACACCGGUGGCGAAGGCGCCACUCUGGAUCGACACUGACGCUGAGGAACGAAAGCAUGGGUAGCAAACAGGAUUAGAUACCCUGGUAGUCCAUGCGGUA